UACAGAGGUCCCAAGCGUUGUUCGGAUUCACUGGGCGUAAAGGGUGCGUAGGUGGUGAGGUAAGUCGGAUGUGAAAUCUCCGGGCUCAACCCGGAAAUGGCAUUGGAAACUACCUUGCUGGAGGAUUUGAGGGGGGAUUGGAAUACUUGGUGUAGCAGUGAAAUGCGUAAAUAUCAAGUGGAACACCAGUGGCGAAGGCGAAUCCCUGGAAAAUACCUGACACUGAGGCACGAAAGCUAGGGGAGCAAACAGG
rnacentral:rRNA from 1 species